rnacentral:rRNA from 1 species
ACUCCUGCGGGAGGCAGCAGUGGGGAAUUUUGGACAAUGGGCGAAAGCCUGAUCCAGCCAUGCCGCGUGCAGGAUGAAGGCCUUCGGGUUGUAAACUGCUUUUGUACGGAACGAAACGGCCUUUUCUAAUAAAGAGGGCUAAUGACGGUACCGUAAGAAUAAGCACCGGCUAACUACGUGCCAGCAGCCGCGGUAAUACGUAGGGUGCAAGCGUUAAUCGGAAUUACUGGGCGUAAAGCGUGCGCAGGCGGUUAUGUAAGACAGUUGUGAAAUCCCCGGGCUCAACCUGGGAACUGCAUCUGUGACUGCAUAGCUAGAGUACGGUAGAGGGGGAUGGAAUUCCGCGUGUAGCAGUGAAAUGCGUAGAUAUGCGGAGGAACACCGAUGGCGAAGGCAAUCCCCUGGACCUGUACUGACGCUCAUGCACGAAAGCGUGGGGAGCAAACAGGAUUAGAUACCCUUGUAGUCCCA